UACGUAGGGGGGCAAGCGUUGUCCGGAAUCAUUGGGCGUAAAGCGCGUGUAGGCGGCUCGGUAAGUCCGCUCUGAAAGUCCAAGGCUCAACCUUGGGAUGCGGGUGGAUACUGCCGGGCUCGAGUCCGGAAGAGGCGAGUGGAAUUCCUGGUGUAGCGGUGAAAUGCGCAGAUAUCAGGAGGAACACCAAUGGCGAAGGCAGCUCGCUGGGACGUGACUGACGCUGAGACGCGAAAGCGUGGGGAGCAAACAGG
rnacentral:rRNA from 1 species